rnacentral:rRNA from 1 species
UACGUAGGGAGCCAGCGUUGUCCGGAUUUACUGGGCGUAAAGAGCGCGUAGGCGGUUUGGUACGCGGAGGGUGAAAUACCGGGGCUCAACUCCGGUGCUGCUCUCCGAACGGCCAGACUAGAGUACGGGAGAGGGUAGUGGAAUUCCUGGUGUAGCGGUGGAAUGCGUAAAUAUCAGGAAGAACACCCGUGGCGAAGGCUGCUACCUGGAACGUUACUGACGCUGAGGCGCGAAAGCUAGGGGAGCGAACGGGAUUAGAUACCCCGGUAGUCCUAGCCGUAAACGAUGGACACUAGGUGUUGGAGGCAUCGACCCCUUCAGUGCUGUUCUGCUAACGCGUUAAGUGUCCCGCCUGGGGAGUACGGCCGCAAGGUUG